rnacentral:snRNA from 1 species
UCCCAAAGGCACGUGUCG